rnacentral:rRNA from 1 species
GUGGGGUAAUGGCCUACCAAGGCGACGACGGGUAGCCGGCCUGAGAGGGCGACCGGCCACACUGGGACUGAGACACGGCCCAGACUCCUACGGGAGGCAGCAGUGGGGAAUAUUGCACAAUGGGCGAAAGCCUGAUGCAGCGACGCCGCGUGAGGGAUGACGGCCUUCGGGUUGUAAACCUCUUUCAGCAGGGAAGAAGCGAAAGUGACGGUACCUGCAGAAGAAGCGCCGGCUAACUACGUGCCAGCAGCCGCGGUAAUACGUAGGGCGCAAGCGUUGUCCGGAAUUAUUGGGCGUAAAGAGCUCGUAGGCGGCUUGUCACGUCGGAUGUGAAAGCCCGGGGCUUAACCCCGGGUCUGCAUUCGAUACGGGCUAGCUAGAGUGUGGUAGGGGAGAUCGGAAUUCCUGGUGUAGCGGUGAAAUGCGCAGAUAUCAGGAGGAACACCGGUGGCGAAGGCGGAUCUCUGGGCCAUUACUGACGCUGAGGAGCGAAAGCGUGGGGAGUGAACAGGAUUAGAUACCCUGGUAGUCCACGCCGUAAACGUUGGGAACUAGGUGUUGGCGACAUUCCACGUCGUCGGUGCCGCAGCUAACGCAUUAAGUU